rnacentral:rRNA from 1 species
UCUACUCACACCAACAAGCGCCCGGGUAUUACAAGCGCAAGCUUAAAAUCCAAAGGAUUUGACGGUGUCCCACCCACCUAGAGGAGCCUGUUCUAUAAUCGAUAAUCCUCGAUACACCCAACCAUUUYUUGCUUUUUCAGCCUGUAUACCUCCGUCGUAAGCUUACCAUUUGAAUGAAGWAGAGUAAGUUUAAGGAUCUYUCACCAAUACGUCAGGUCARGGUGCAGCCAAUGUAAUGGAAAGCAAUGGGCUACAAUUUYUAAUAUAGAACAAACGAAACACUGCAUGAAAAACAGUCAUGAAGGCGGAUUUAGUAGUAAAAGGGGAAUAGAGUGCCCYUUUUAACAAGGCCCUGGGACGUGUACACACCGCCCGUCAC